UCCUGGGUAGCCCAGUCGGUAGAGUGUCAGACUUUUAAUCUGAAGGUCCAGGGUUCGAGUCCCUGUCCAGGUG